AUUUUGCUUGGUUGAACAUGCAGAUGAGGAAUCCGCGGAUAACAAGAGCCCAUCGAUGAAGAAAAAAAGGAGGAUAUGCAUUACUAAGAAUCAAAGGAAGUGCCUGACUCUAUAACAAAGAGAAAAGCUUCAAAAUGAUUGUACAACACGAAGACAGAAAUAACCAUGUUAAGAGGUCAUUGGUCCGACUUCUCCAGAAACUUCCCCUGGGCAGCGGUCUCUACCUCUGUUACAGAAGACUGCAAAAAUACCGGCCAUUGUGCAUCUGGCCAAUUAUGCAAUGUUCUAUCACAAGGGGAAAUUCCUUCCUCACUCCAGCUGGUGAGCAGUUAUGCCCUGGAGCCCAGGACGGACAUGCCUUGUAACUUUUUAACCUAGUUAGUGUAACUGCCAAUAUUAUUCCUAUUCAUAUAAAUGUCUAAUCCUUUCUUGAAUCUUGCUAGACUAUUUGCCUCAAUAAUAUCCUGCGGCAGUGAAUUCCACAGGUAGAUUAUAUGCUGUUUUAAAAAGUAUUUCCUUUUAUUCAUUUUAAAUUUGUUACCUUUUAAUGUCACAAGAUGGCCCUUGUUCUUGCAUUAAGUGGUACAGGGUACAGGCAUUUCAAA